rnacentral:rRNA from 1 species
GUAGGUGGCAAGCGUUGUCCGGAAUUAUUGGGCGUAAAGCGCGCGCAGGCGGUCUUUUAAGUCUGAUGUGAAAGCCCACGGCUCAACCGUGGAGGGUCAUUGGAAACUGGGGGACUUGAGUACAGAAGAGGAAAGCGGAAUUCCAAGUGUAGCGGUGAAAUGCGUAGAGAUUUGGAGGAACACCAGUGGCGAAGGCGGCUUUCUGGUCUGUAACUGACGCUGAGGCGCGAAAGCGUGGGGAGCAAACAGGAUUAGAUACCCUGGUAGUCCACGCCGUAAACGAUGAGUGCUAAGUGUUAGGGGGUUUCCCGCCCCCUUAGUGCUGCAGCUAACGCAUUAAGCACUCCGCCUGGGGGAUACGGCCGCAAGGCUG